rnacentral:rRNA from 1 species
AGAGUUUGAUCCUGGCUCAGAUUGAACGCUGGCGGUAUGCCUAACACAUGCAAGUCGAACGAGGUAGCAAUACCUAGUGGCGGACGGGUGAGGAAUACGUAGGGAUCUGCCCUUAAGUGGGGGGAUAACCCGGGGAAACCCGGAUUAAUACCGCAUGAUCUCGCAAGAGCAAAGAGGGGGACCGCAAGGCCUCUCGCUUUUGGAGGAACCUACGUCGGAUUAGCUAGUUGGUGAGGUAAUGGCUCACCAAGGCGACGAUCCGUAACUGGUCUGAGAGGAUGAUCAGUCACACCGGAACUGAGACACGGUCCGGACUCCUACGGGAGGCAGCAGUGGGGAAUAUUGGACAAUGGGCGAAAGCCUGAUCCAGCAAUACCGCGUGUGUGAAGAAGGCCUUCGGGUUGUAAAGCACUUUAAGUUGGGAAGAAAAAGCUUCACCUAAUACGUGAAGCCUUGACGGUACCGACAGAAUAAGCACCGGCUAACUCUGUG